GCCUGGCUGGCUCAGUUGGUGGAGUGUGUGAUUCUUGAUCUCAGGGUCAUGAGUUCAAGCCCCAUGUUGGGCU
rnacentral:tRNA from 1 species